UGGAUGCCCUGGCAGUCAGAGGCGAUGAAGGACGUGCUAAUCUGCGAAAAGCGUCGGUAAGGUGAUAUGAACCGUUAUAACCGGCGAUGUCCGAAUGGGGAAACCCAGUGCAAUUCGUUGCACUAUCGUUAACUGAAUACAUAGGUUAACGAGGCGAACCGGGGGAACUGAAACAUCUAAGUACCCCGAGGAAAAGAAAUCAACCGAGAUUCCCCCAGUAGCGGCGAGCGAACGGGGAGCAGCCCAGAGUCUGAAUCAGCUUGUGUGUUAGUGGAACGGUCUGGAAAGUCCGACGGUACAGGGUGAUAGUCCCGUACACCAAAAUGCACAGGCUGUGAACUCGAAGAGUAGGGCGGGACACGUGGUAUCCUGUCUGAAUAUGGGGGGACCAUCCUCCAAGGCUAAAUACUCCUGACUGACCGAUAGUGAACCAGUACCGUGAGGGAAAGGCGAAAAGAACCCCGGCGAGGGGAGUGAAAAAGAACCUGAAACCGUGUACGUACAAGCAGUGGGAGCACCUUCGGGUGUGACUGCGUACCUUUUGUAUAAUGGGUCAGCGACUUAUAUUCUGUAGCAAGGUUAACCGUAUAGGGGAGCCGCAGGGAAACCGAGUCUUAACUGGGCGUUAAGUUGCAGGGUAUAGACCCGAAACCCGGUGAUCUAGCCAUGGGCAGGUUGAAGGUUGGGUAACACUAACUGGAGGACCGAACCGACUAAUGUUGAAAAAUUAGCGGAUGACUUGUGGCUGGGGGUGAAAGGCCAAUCAAACCGGGAGAUAGCUGGUUCUCCCCGAAAGCUAUUUAGGUAGCGCCUCGUGAA
rnacentral:rRNA from 1 species